rnacentral:sRNA from 1 species
UAUUUUUUUUACUGUUGAAUUUGAAUUAAAAAAUAUUAAAUAUUUUAAUAAUUAUCACAAUAAAUCUAUUUACUACCGUUCUUGUUCCAGUAGAACCGCUUAAUCCGCUUGAUAAAGCAUAUAGAUGAAGAUUGUGAUAAGGCAUAUGGAUGAACAAUAACAGCAAUUCAACCACUUAUAGAAAAACAUAAAAAAUAACUUUUUGUAACCUCGUUUCUUCCACCGUAAACCUGUUGGUUUUCAUCUCAAGAAGCAGCAGACCUCACACAACUGUGAUCAUCAUCAAUGUUCUGCAAAAGCAGAAGAGGGUAAAUGCGGAAGUACCUAUUUUUUAGAGAAAGUGAAAACCGAAUGAGAAAGAAAGAAACUGGGUAGAAAGAAACUGAGGGUUAUAAGUUAAUUUUCUUAUAAAUUUAUCAUGUAAUAUUAUGUGUUAGGAUAUCUCCAACGCUAAUCACCAUUAUGGUGUUUAAAU